GACCGUCGUGGCCGACGCCGUCGAGCGGUUCGCGCCCGUCGUGAGCGACCCCGAGAGCAUCGAGCUGCGCUGGGUCCGGUUCGACUCCGUCGGCGAACU
rnacentral:tRNA from 1 species